rnacentral:rRNA from 1 species
GGGAUAACAGUUGGAAACGACUGCUAAUACCGCAUAAGCGCACGGUAUCGCAUGAUACAGUGUGAAAAACUCCGGUGGUAUAAGAUGGACCCGCGUCUGAUUAGCUUGUUGGUGAGGUAACGGCUCACCAAGGCGACGAUCAGUAGCCGGCCUGAGAGGGUGAACGGCCACAUUGGGACUGAGACACGGCCCAAACUCCUACGGGAGGCAGCAGUGGGGAAUAUUGCACAAUGGGGGAAACCCUGAUGCAGCGACGCCGCGUGAGUGAUGAAGUAUUUCGGUAUGUAAAACUCUAUCAGCAGGGAAGAUAAUGACGGUACCUGACUAAGAAGCACCGGCUAAAUACGUGCCAGCAGCCGCGGUAAUACGUAUGGUGCAAGCGUUAUCCGGAUUUACUGGGUGUAAAGGGUGCGUAGGUGGUAUGGCAAGUCAGAAGUGAAAGGCUGGGGCUCAACCCCGGGACUGCUUUUGAAACUGUCAAACUAGAGUACAGGAGAGGAAAGCGGAAUUCCUAGUGUAGCGGUGAAAUGCGUAGAUAUUAGGAGGAACACCAGUGGCGAAGGCGGCUUUCUGGACUGAAACUGACACUGAGGCACGAAAGCGUGGGGAGCAAACAGGAUUAGAUACCCUGGUAGUCCACGCCGUAA